rnacentral:sRNA from 1 species
AAAUUGCUGCUGCUGCUGCUGCUGCUGCAGCAGCAGCAGCUGCUGCUGCUGCUGCAGCUGCUGCUGCUGCAGCAGCUACUGCUGCAGCAGCUGCUGCUGCAGCUGCUGCUGCUGCUGCUGCUGCUGCUGCUGCUGCAGCUGCUGCUGCUGCUGCAGCAGCUGCUGCUGCUGCAACUGCUGCUGCUGCUGCUGCAGCUGCUGCUGCAGCUGCUGCUGCUGCAGCUGCUUUUAAUGAACAGCAAAUUCUCAAGCUCAAAACA